UACGUAGGGUCCAAGCGUUGUUCGGAUUUACUGGGCGUAAAGGGCGCGUAGGCGGCGCGGUAAGUCACUUGUGAAAUCUCUGAGCUUAACUCAGAACGGCCAAGUGAUACUGCAGUGCUAGAGUGUGGAAGGGGCAAUCGGAAUUCUUGGUGUAGCAGUGAAAUGCGUAGAUAUCAAGAGGAACACCUGAGGUGAAGACGGGUUGCUGGGCCAACACUGACGCUGAUGCGCGAAAGCCAGGGGAGCAAACGGG
rnacentral:rRNA from 1 species